rnacentral:lncRNA from 1 species
GGGAACAAAAUAGCAAUUUUCUAAUUCUAAUACUAAGCCUGAAGGCAGUGGUAAGAAGUAUGUCCCUACAGCUAAUGCAGUAACUCUUGCUCCAUUUCCCACGCGCGGGUCAACUUCUCUUUUCUGCAGUGGUCUACUUCUCUUUAGUCCCUGCAUAUUUAUACAAAUAUGAGAUCCACAUCCGGUAUCUAAUACCUAAGAAGUUAAUGAAGUAGACUUAUUAAUCUCGAUAACAAAAAUACCUGAAGUAGAAGUUUCAGAAGACUUCUUUCCCUUCAAGUUUGCGAGGUAAGCCUUGCA